UACAGAAGGUCCGGGCGUUAUCCGGAUUUAUUGGGUUUAAAGGGAGCGCAGGCGGGGACUUAAGCGUGACGUGAAAUGCCGCGGCUCAACCGUGGAAGUGCGUCGCGAACUGGGUUUCUUGAUUGGGUACGACGUAGGCGGAAUUCGUGGUGUAGCGGUGAAAUGCUUAGAUAUCACGAAGAACCCCGAUUGCGAAGGCAGCCUACGAGGCCUCUAAUGACGCUAAAGCUCGAAGGUGCGGGUAUCGAAC
rnacentral:rRNA from 1 species